AUUUACAAACAUCUAUACUAUGAAGGAAAAAAGCACUGAGGCAUACCGUUUUCAAUUUAGAUUUCAGUUUGCGAUAACUGACCAUCGGAGUAUAAGCAUCAGUUGGGACACUCUUCCUAGCUGGGAUAUGAUAAGCAGGUUGAAGUCGAGAAAAAUUGAGGAUUGAAUCAAGCCUUUGUCUGAGUUUAGAGUGCUGUUUCUGUAUUAAUACAACAGAUCCCGAUUCAAGGGUCCCCUUUUUGAAUGCACGAAGCUUUUCAUAUAUAUCGACCUGAUCGCUAAUAAGAUCCAUUCUUUCUCGCGCAUCAGACACCAAAUUUUCAAAAAAUUCUUCCACCUUGUUUGCUUGUUGGUCAAGAAACUCUUGAAAAAGGGGAUGAAACCGAUGAAUUUGCCCUAGGUCAAAAGCAGUUAGAAAUGCAUUUUUUAGAGAUGUCAAAAAACGUACCUCGUCUGUUUUAUUAGUCAAUAGUGCAAAUUAAAUAAAACUUACUUUACAAUGGCUUCUUCAGGUGUUUCUCCCAAAAUCCCUGAAGUACCAUACAGACCCUCAGAAGGAUUCUUUGCAAUGCCUGCGAUUAUUUUUUUCCCCUUUUUGUAGUCAAAAUAAGCAGAAGCCCAUUCUACUCGAAUUAGCAUAUCCGAACGUCAAUUAUUUUUCAACUACAAACUAGCAUACCUGCAACAGAUUGUCCUUCGAUAACCCUGUACAGUUAGUAAGCUUCAGAACUUUCAAAAAAUCCUUACUUUCCGAAUUUCAUGUUCAAAUAAUUUUU